rnacentral:tRNA from 1 species
UUUAUUCUAGGCUCAGAUGGUAAAGCACCUGCCUACAGAGCAGGAGACCUGGGUUCUAUCCCUGGGUGGGAAG